UAACUUCUUCUUAUUCAGUUACUAGACAGC
rnacentral:piRNA from 1 species